rnacentral:rRNA from 1 species
AACGAACGCUGGCGGCAUGCCUAACACAUGCAAGUCGAACGAGACCUUCGGGUCUAGUGGCGCACGGGUGCGUAACGCGUGGGAACCUGCCCUUAGGUUCGGAAUAACUCCCCGAAAGGGGUGCUAAUACCGGAUAAUGUCUUCGGACCAAAGAUUUAUCGCCUUUGGAUGGGCCCGCGUUGGAUUAGCUAGUUGGUAGGGUAAAAGCCUACCAAGGCGACGAUCCGUAGCUGGUCUGAGAGGAUGAUCAGCCACACUGGGACUGAGACACGGCCCAGACUCGUAGGGGAGGCAGCCGUGGGGAAUAUUGGACAAUGGGCGAAAGCGUGAUCCAGGAAUGCCGCGUGUGUGAAGAAGGUCUUCGGAUUGUAAAGAACUUUAAGUUGGGAGGAAGGGCAGUAAGUUAAUACCGGGCUGUUUUGACGUUACCAACAGAAUAAGCACCGGCUAACUUCGUG